AGUGAACGCUGGCGGUAGGCCUAACACAUGCAAGUCGAACGGCAGCACAGUAAGAGCUUGCUCUUACGGGUGGCGAGUGGCGGACGGGUGAGGAAUACAUCGGAAUCUACUUUUUCGUGGGGGAUAACGUAGGGAAACUUACGCUAAUACCGCAUACGACCUACGGGUGAAAGCAGGGGAUCUUCUGACCUUGCGCGAUUGAAUGAGCCGAUGUCGGAUUAGCUAGUUGGCGGGGUAAAGGCCCACCAAGGCGACGAUCCGUAGCUGGUCUGAGAGGAUGAUCAGCCACACUGGAACUGAGACACGGUCCAGAGUCCUACGGGAGGCAGCAGUGGGGAAUAUUGGACAAUGGGCGCAAGCCUGAUCCAGCCAUACCGCGUGGGUGAAGAAGGCCUUCGGGUUGUAAAGCCCUUUUGUUGGGAAAGAAAAGCAGCAGGUUAAUACCCCGCUGUUCUGACGGUACCCAAAGAAUAAGCACCGGCUAACUUCGUG
rnacentral:rRNA from 1 species